rnacentral:sRNA from 1 species
GUCGUGAGACAGUUUGGUCCCUAUCUU